rnacentral:rRNA from 1 species
GGGUUGUGAGGUUAAGCGACUAAGCGUACACGGUGGAUGCCCUGGCAGUCAGAGGCGAUGAAGGACGUGCUAAUCUGCGAUAAGCGUCGGUAAGGUGAUAUGAACCGUUAUAACCGGCGAUUUCCGAAUGGGGAAACCCAGUGUGAUUCGUCACACUAUCAUUAACUGAAUCCAUAGGUUAAUGAGGCGAACCGGGGGAACUGAAACAUCUAAGUACCCCGAGGAAAAGAAAUCAACCGAGAUUCCCCCAGUAGCGGCGAGCGAACGGGGAGCAGCCCAGAGCCUGAAUCAGUGUGUGUGUUAGUGGAAGCGUCUGGAAAGGCGCGCGAUACAGGGUGACAGCCCCGUACACAAAAAUGCACAUGCUGUGAGCUCGAUGAGUAGGGCGGGACACGUGGUAUCCUGUCUGAAUAUGGGGGGACCAUCCUCCAAGGCUAAAUACUCCUGACUGACCGAUAGUGAACCAGUACCGUGAGGGAAAGGCGAAAAGAACCCCGGCGAGGGGAGUGAAAAAGAACCUGAAACCGUGUACGUACAAGCAGUGGGAGCACGCUUAGGCGUGUGACUGCGUACCUUUUGUAUAAUGGGUCAGCGACUUAUAUUCUGUAGCAAGGUUAACCGAAUAGGGGAGCCGAAGGGAAACCGAGUCUUAACUGGGCGUUAAGUUGCAGGGUAUAGACCCGAAACCCGGUGAUCUAGCCAUGGGCAGGUUGAAGGUUGGGUAACACUAACUGGAGGACCGAACCGACUAAUGUUGAAAAAUUAGCGGAUGACUUGUGGCUGGGGGUGAAAGGCCAAUCAAACCGGGAGAUAGCUGGUUCUCCCCGAAAGCUAUUUAGGUAGCGCCUCGUGAAUUCAUCUCCGGGGGUAGAGCACUGUUUCGGCAAGGGGGUCAUCCCGACUUACCAACCCGAUGCAAACUGCGAAUACCGGAGAAUGUUAUCACGGGAGACACACGGCGGGUGCUAACGUCCGUCGUGAAGAGGGAAACAACCCAGACCGCCAGCUAAGGUCCCAAAGUCAUGGUUAAGUGGGAAACGAUGUGGGAAGGCCCAGACAGCCAGGAUGUUGGCUUAGAAGCAGCCAUCAUUUAAAGAAAGCGUAAUAGCUCACUGGUCGAGUCGGCCUGCGCGGAAGAUGUAACGGGGCUAAACCAUGCACCGAAGCUGCGGCAGCGACGCUUAUGCGUUGUUGGGUAGGGGAGCGUUCUGUAAGCCUGUGAAGGUGUACUGUGAGGUAUGCUGGAGGUAUCAGAAGUGCGAAUGCUGACAUAAGUAACGAUAAAGCGGGUGAAAAGCCCGCUCGCCGGAAGACCAAGGGUUCCUGUCCAACGUUAAUCGGGGCAGGGUGAGUCGACCCCUAAGGCGAGGCCGAAAGGCGUAGUCGAUGGGAAACAGGUUAAUAUUCCUGUACUUGGUGUUACUGCGAAGGGGGGACGGAGAAGGCUAUGUUGGCCGGGCGACGGUUGUCCCGGUUUAAGCGUGUAGGCUGGUUUUCCAGGCAAAUCCGGAAAAUCAAGGCUGAGGCGUGAUGACGAGGCACUACGGUGCUGAAGCAACAAAUGCCCUGCUUCCAGGAAAAGCCUCUAAGCAUCAGGUAACAUCAAAUCGUACCCCAAACCGACACAGGUGGUCAGGUAGAGAAUACCAAGGCGCUUGAGAGAACUCGGGUGAAGGAACUAGGCAAAAUGGUGCCGUAACUUCGGGAGAAGGCACGCUGAUAUGUAGGUGAAGUCCCUCGCGGAUGGAGCUGAAAUCAGUCGAAGAUACCAGCUGGCUGCAACUGUUUAUUAAAAACACAGCACUGUGCAAACACGAAAGUGGACGUAUACGGUGUGACGCCUGCCCGGUGCCGGAAGGUUAAUUGAUGGGGUUAGCGCAAGCGAAGCUCUUGAUCGAAGCCCCGGUAAACGGCGGCCGUAACUAUAACGGUCCUAAGGUAGCGAAAUUCCUUGUCGGGUAAGUUCCGACCUGCACGAAUGGCGUAAUGAUGGCCAGGCUGUCUCCACCCGAGACUCAGUGAAAUUGAACUCGCUGUGAAGAUGCAGUGUACCCGCGGCAAGACGGAAAGACCCCGUGAACCUUUACUAUAGCUUGACACUGAACAUUGAGCCUUGAUGUGUAGGAUAGGUGGGAGGCUUUGAAGUGUGGACGCCAGUCUGCAUGGAGCCGACCUUGAAAUACCACCCUUUAAUGUUUGAUGUUCUAACGUUGACCCGUAAUCCGGGUUGCGGACAGUGUCUGGUGGGUAGUUUGACUGGGGCGGUCUCCUCCUAAAGAGUAACGGAGGAGCACGAAGGUUGGCUAAUCCUGGUCGGACAUCAGGAGGUUAGUGCAAUGGCAUAAGCCAGCUUGACUGCGAGCGUGACGGCGCGAGCAGGUGCGAAAGCAGGUCAUAGUGAUCCGGUGGUUCUGAAUGGAAGGGCCAUCGCUCAACGGAUAAAAGGUACUCCGGGGAUAACAGGCUGAUACCGCCCAAGAGUUCAUAUCGACGGCGGUGUUUGGCACCUCGAUGUCGGCUCAUCACAUCCUGGGGCUGAAGUAGGUCCCAAGGGUAUGGCUGUUCGCCAUUUAAAGUGGUACGCGAGCUGGGUUUAGAACGUCGUGAGACAGUUCGGUCCCUAUCUGCCGUGGGCGCUGGAGAACUGAGGGGGGCUGCUCCUAGUACGAGAGGACCGGAGUGGACGCAUCACUGGUGUUCGGGUUGUCAUGCCAAUGGCACUGCCCGGUAGCUAAAUGCGGAAGAGAUAAGUGCUGAAAGCAUCUAAGCACGAAACUUGCCCCGAGAUGAGUUCUCCCUGACUCCUUGAGAGUCCUGAAGGAACGUUGAAGACGACGACGUUGAUAGGCCGGAUGUGUAAGCGCAGCGAUGCGUUGAGCUAACCGGUACUAAUGAACCGUGAGGCUUAACCUUACAACGCCGAAGGUGUUU